rnacentral:rRNA from 1 species
UAAUACGUAGGAGGCAAGCGUUGUCCGGAUUUACUGGGCGUAAAGAGCGUGUAGGCGGCAUGGCAAGUCUGCUGUGAAAGCUCUCGGCUUAACCGGGAGAGGUCGGUGGAAACUGCCAGGCUUGAGGACGGUAGAGGGGGGUGGAAUUCCCGGUGUAGUGGUGAAAUGCGUAGAUAUCGGGAGGAACACCAGUGGCGAAGGCGGCCCCCUGGGCCGCUCCUGACGCUGAGACGCGAAGGCUAGGGUAGCGAACGGGAUUAGAUACCCCGGUAGUCCUAGCAGUAAACGAUGAGCACUAGGUGUGGGGGGUAUCGAGCCCCUCCGCGCCGAAGUCAACACAUUAAGUGCUCCGCCUGGGGAGUACGGCCGCAAGGUUA